rnacentral:lncRNA from 1 species
UUUUCAGGAGAUCGACUGGGGCAAGUGUCCGCAACUCAAGCCUUCGGACGAAGAACAGGUGAGCACUUUUCCCCAUCAUCGGUUAUUCCGUUGGCCGCUCUGAAGGGCCGAGUCCGGUUCGAUCGGUCCACCGAAACCGAAGGAAAUUGGCAGCGCCGGCGGCAGCCAACUCCGUCCGACCACGGCCUCAGCCUUUCGGUCUGGCAUUUUCUGGCCGAGAAAUUCUUUCCCUAGCCCGUCUUCCGGUGGCUUCCGCCGCCUAACAGGAGGCUAUCGACCCGCCUGGGUAGAGGCCGCCAACCAGUAUGCCGGCCGGAACUUUAAGUCUACUGACCCCAAGAAAGGCACGGGCCAAGUACAUAAUUUGGUGGCCCAUUUAACACCAAAGAGUUUUUUAGAGUAAUUUCGGUGCUCCGAAUGGCUGUUGGGUGGUUCCGCCACUGGGUGACUAACUCCGGUAACCAGGUCGGCGCCGACGUCUUUUUCUAUCUGGCCGAGGACUGGAAGGGACGGGUCCCAGCCCGGAUUCGGGCCGAAAACUGGAUCAGUUCCAUGCCGCAAAAUAACACCGUCGGUCUCCGGCCGGACGGGAUUUUCUCCCGCGGGCGUACGAGUCGGGUGGUGGCUACCAGCCAGGCCAAAGAAUUCGAAUAUUGAAGUGCCGCGCAGGUUUUUUCGGGACCAGUUUCAAGAGUUGUUGAUCCGUGCUGGAGGUAAAUUUACUCGGUAAAGAGGCGCACUAUUUUUUAUAACCAAUUAAAACCUAUUUAUUUUUAGACCGGCUACGGACUGCCGGCCCAAGAGGAAUUGCCCUGGAGGAGGUGGCCGUAGACCUGGUCACUGCCGGUAUUUAUCGGCCGACCACCAGGGCGCGCCCAGCCGCUGCCUGGGCGGAAAAAGUCCAGGCGGCUCACCGGCCCUAACGGGAAAUCCCGACAUUAUCGAUUGUGGCCAGUGAGAAAAGGCGACGGAACCACCAAAGCGGAAGUGGUAAACCCGGGUGAAAGAGCGCCGCCGUAGAUGUAGUGGGGUUUGAAGUUUUCCGAUCGUAUCCAUCUAUAGUGGGUAGAAAAGGUUGCCAUCCGACUACUUUAAUCGAAGCGAGAAUAGCCGUUUCGAUUAUCUUCUUAGAAAAUAUCCUGUUUUAUAGCAGCGGUGCCUGGAAGAGGUUAUUUUAAAAGCCUCGAGCGGAUUAGUUUUGGUCUCGGGCCGGUAACGGAAUGGUUAAGAGCCAGGCCAAAGCCGCUCUUCCGUCCGAGUGGAAAUGCUAUCCGCCUUUGGUCAGUGACGAUCUUCCGGGUCCGAUUAUCCACUGGCGGCCUAGACUCCCGGUUUAAAAUUUUCCAACAUUUAGUAUAAAAACUUGCGGCCACGGGCGGGGACGAGACCAACGGCCGAAGUAAGUAAACGGAUGGGAGGAAAAUCCGAUAAGCGCGGCCUGGUGGGAUUAUUAUAUUGGCCGGGCGGCUAAGAUUCGGUUGGCCGUCAUGCCGGAAAAAUUAUUUCCGGCAGCUCUAACCCAGUUACGCCCCAGUUUUCCGUGUCGGCCUGGUCCGGAACCCGGCUGGCUAUCCAGCGGAGCUGUCGGUCCCGGCGCCUUUAAAAAGCGUCCUGGACUGGAAGGGACGGGUCCGGUCAGCGGCGGCCAAUUCUAAUUGAGGGGGCCGAACCGGUUCUUCCACCGGCUGUCCGUUCCCAGCCAGACAUCGGCCGGACGCCCUAAAUAUUUUGGAGGGGUAGACCGAGAUUCGAAACCGGGCUCGGGCUAAAACCACUCCGGCUGGAUUAAGAUGGGCUAAACCCCGACUGCCAUUCCUGUGGUAUUUACUUCUUUCUUUUUCCGUUUAGCGAUCUAAAAGUAAAUUUGUGGAAGAAUGUCUGAAAGAAUUUCCUCCUCCUACCGGC